rnacentral:rRNA from 1 species
UGGGGAAUUUUCCGCAAUGGGCGAAAGCCUGACGGAGCAAUGCCGCGUGGAGGUGGAAGGCCUACGGGUCGCCAACUUCUUUUCUCGGAGAAGAAACAAUGACGGUAUCUGAGGAAUAAGCAUCGGCUAACUCUGUGCCAG